rnacentral:rRNA from 2 species
UGGCGACCAUAUCUGGACGGAAACACCUGUUCCCAUUCCGAACACAGUAGUUAAGCUUCCAGAGCCGAUGAUAGUGCCUACCAGUGCGAAAGUAGGUAUCGCC